UGUGCAUGCAAGACUUUACCUUCUCCUUUCUGGCAGCCUCUAUAUUCGCAUGCCCCUAGUGUGCACAGCUAUGCUUCCCAGCCAUAUUCUGCACGAUCACGGCACUCUGCCAUUGAAAUCGACAUCCCUGUGGUUACACGUACUUCUUAAAAGAAUGGGUUAAGAAAGGCAAACAUUCCUUUGUGUAUUCUCCCCUUAUGCUAGCAUUUACAAGUUCCCACAGCUUAGCAACUUCUGCAACUAUAGCAAGGGUAUGUGUAAUUUGGUGAUGUUUACUUUUAUUACCUAGAUUGAUAAGAAACAGGAACGAGCAGGCUGAAAUACUAGAAGCGACUGCAAGCUUUUAAGGGCCUUUGAAACCAGCAGUUUUUCAUGUUCUGAUUUUACUGGAAUGAAAUGUGAAGUGUGUAUAAAAAAUACUGCAUGUCUUUGGUGCAGUCCAAAUUCUACUUGUAUGGAUUAUCCUGUAAACAAAAUCAUGCCGCCAUCAUCGUUGUGCUCGCUUACGAAGUCUUACUGGGCAAUAUGUUGGGGUAUGUAAUCUUGUAUAUAUGUUAAAUUAGGACAGCCCAGAACAUAAUUGCAAUGU
rnacentral:lncRNA from 1 species